AAAAUACAUUUUCAAUCUGAAAAUUAUUUUUUAAAAUAUAUUUUCUUAAAAAUCAAUCAAACACUCCUUGUGCGAAACAAUCGUCCUUAUAACAGCAUAUCACAUAUGGUACGCCACUGACCAAUCAUAUUGUGACAAUAUAAUGACUUGUUUUAGAUUAUGAAAAGAUUACGUUGCUUGUGAUAAUAACGUAUCAUAUUUCCACAAUCAAAUUGAAAAUUUGAAAAUCCUAUGUAAGCUUUUGCUCUAGCACUUUUUCACCAAAAUAGCUUAAGAUAACAAUAGAGUAAAAUUGGGAGCAACAUGAUAAAAAUGUUGUUGAUUGAUUGAGGCCUAAUUAUUCAUAUCCUACAAGAAUAAUUGUGAUGAAGAAAUUUUUUUCCAAAUUUAGAAACCUUAUAAUUUGGUUGCAGUGUUGUGUAACUUCUACUUGAAUCAUUGGAAAAAAAAAUAAUUCAUUUAUUAAAAUCAUACUAACAAAUUAUAGAGCUAGACUGGUAUACGUACUAUUGGUAGCACGAAGGCCUCCGUACUACUAAGUUGUUUUCAAUGAUGCCACUUCCAAAUCGACGGUCGGCUCCGUUAGACUUGAUCUACCCUAUUAAAAGCAUUUGGAAACUAAAUUUCGUAAUUUUUCGGCGUCAUUUGACUAGUGAUCAGGUCUCAAAAUUGACAAUUUUAAUGAUAGAUGUAUGCGUUUUUGAAUUUAACGGUAUAGAAAAUUCUUUUCACUAUUUAUAGUAAGAUUAGUACCUCUGAUAUUAAAACAUUAUUUUUUAUAAGAUUUUUAUUUUCAGCCGUUUAUUUUUAGACUACUCGUUUGAUAGGUAAAUGAUGCCGAAAAAUUAUAAAAUUUAGUUUUCAACUACUUUCAAUAGUGUAGAUCAAGUCUAACGGAGGUGAUCGUCAAUUUGGAAGCCACAUUAUUGAAAAUAACUUGAUAGCACGGAGACCUGCAUGCUACCGAUAGUAUACCAGCUUAGCUCUGAAUUAUAUGCAGAUUUUGAAUAUAACUUAGUUCAACUUAGUCUCUCUCACAUGGACAAAUCUCCGUCACGUGGUAGGAUGCUGAAUAACUUCGACUCUUUCACUAAAUUCGACAAUUAAUUAUUAUGUUUCAAAUUUAUCAUAUGAUUAUUAAAAAAAAUAAUUAAAAUUUUAAAACUAAAACAAAGUUAUAUAAAAUUUCAACUCAUUUCAAUCA
rnacentral:lncRNA from 1 species